rnacentral:rRNA from 1 species
AACGAACGCUGGCGGCAGGCCUAACACAUGCAAGUCGAGCGAGGACUUCGGUUCUAGCGGCGGACGGGUGAGUAACGCGUGGGAAUGUGCCCUUCUCUACGGAAUAGCCCUGGGAAACUGGGAGUAAUACCGUAUACGCCCUAUUGGGGAAAGAUUUAUCGGAGAAGGAUCAGCCCGCGUUGGAUUAGGUAGUUGGUGGGGUAAUGGCCUACCAAGCCGACGAGCCAUAGCUGGCUUGAGAGGCUGAUCAGCCACACUGGGACUGAGACACGGCCCAGACUCCUACGGGAGGCAGCAGUGGGGAAACUUAGACAAUGGGGGCAACCCAGAUCUAGCCAUGCCGCGUGAGUGAUGAAGGCCUUAGGGUUGUAAAGCUCUUUCAGCUGGGAAGAUAAUGACGGUACCAGCAGAAGAAGCCCCGGCUAACUCCGUG